rnacentral:misc_RNA from 1 species
GAUGAAGAACGUAGCGAAAUGCGAUAAGUAAUGUGAAUUGCAGAAUUCAGUGAAUCAUCGAAUCUUUGAACGCACAUUGCGCCCAUUAGUAUUCUAGUGGGCAUGCCUGUUCGAGCGUCAUUAAGUCCACUUAAGCCCUGCUUAGUGUUGGGAGACUGCUCCAGCGGUGCUACCCUGUAGCUACCCUGCAGCUCCUCGAAGACAGCGGCGGAGUUGUGGUAUCCUCUGAGCUUAGUAACUUGUUCUAGCUUUCGAGUACACCACUUCCCCUGCCGUAAAACCCUUAAUUUUUAAUGGUUGACCUCGGAUCAGGUAGGAAUUCCCGCUGAACUUAAGCAUAUCAAUAAGCGGAGGA